rnacentral:rRNA from 1 species
ACGGGACUCUUCGGAGUUCAGUGGCGGACGGGUGAGUAACGCGUGAGAAUCUGCCUAGAGGAUGGGGACAACCACGGGAAACUGUGGCUAAUACCCAAUGAGCGGAGACGUUAAAGAUUUAUCGCCUCUAGAGGAGCUCGCGUCUGAUUAGCUAGUUGGUGGGGUAAAAGCCUACCAAGGCGACGAUCAGUAGCUGGUCUGAGAGGACAACCAGCCACACUGGGACUGAGACACGGCCCAGACUCCUACGGGAGGCAGCAGUGGGGAAUUUUCCGCAAUGGGCGAAAGCCUGACGGAGCAAUACCGCAUGAGGGAGGAAGGCUCUUGGGUCGUAAACCUCUUUUCUCAGGGAAGAAGAAAGUGACGGUACCUGAGGAAUCAGCCUCGGCUAACUCCGUGCCAGCAGCCGCGGUAAUACGGAGGAGGCAAGCGUUAUCCGGAAUUAUUGGGCGUAAAGCGUCCGUAGGUGGCUUUUCAAGUCUGCUGUCAAAGAGUGGGGCUUAACUCCAGAAAGGCAGUGGAAACUGAAAGGCUAGAGAGCCGUAGGGGUAGAGGGAAUUCCCGGUGUAGCGGUGAAAUGCGUAGAGAUCGGGAAGAACAUCGGUGGCGAAAGCGCUCUACUGGACGGUAUCUGACACUGAGGGACGAAAGCUAGGGGAGCGAAUG